rnacentral:misc_RNA from 1 species
GUAGGUGAACCUGCGGAGGGAUCAUUACAGAGUUGCAAAACUCCCUAAACCCACUGUGAAUCUACCUGUUUUUUAGCUACUUCGGCAGGCGGCCCCAGGGCGGGGCCAUCAGCCUUUUAGGUGCCUGCCAGAGUACACAAAACUCUUGCUGCAACUGUACUACUCUGAGUUUCAAAAACAAUUCAAGUUAAAAUUUUCAAUUGUGGAUCUCUUGGUUCUGGCAUCGAUGAAGAACGCAGCAUCUGACUGA